CCCGCUGAACUUAAGCAUAUCAAUAAGCGGAGGAAAAGAAACUAACAAGGAUUCCCCUAGUAACUGCGAGUGAACCGGGAAAAGCUCAAAUUUUGAAUCUGGCAGUCCUUGAGGCUGUCCGAGUUGUAAUCUAGAGAAGCGUUUUCCGCGCUGGACCGUGUAUAAGUUUCCUGGAAAGGAACGUCAUAGAGGGUGAAAAUCCCGUCUUUGACACGGACUCCCAGGGCUAUGUGAUGCGCUCUCGACGAGUCGAGUUGUUUGGGAAUGCAGCUCAAAUAGGGUGGUAAAUUCCAUCUAAAGCUAAAUACAGGCGAGAGACCGAUAGCGAACAAGUACCGUGAGGGAAAGAUGAAAAGAACUUUGGAAAGAGAGUUAAACAGUACGUGAAAUUGCUGAAAGGGAAACGCUUGAUGUCAGUCGCGUCGGCCGGGGAUCAGUCUGGCUUUAACUAGCUAGGCGUACUUCCUGGUCGACGGGUCAGCAUCAGUUUUGACCGUCGAGAAAAGGUCUUGAGGAAUGUGGCACUCUCUUUACCGGGGGUGUGUUAUAGACUCUUGUCUUGUAAUAGCGACUGAGUUGGGACUGAGGAAACCGCACCACGGCCUAUAUGCGUUUUCGGGGCUUAGGCUCACGUAUAGCGUGCUUAGGAUGCUGGCAUAAUGGCCUUAAGCGACCC
rnacentral:rRNA from 1 species